rnacentral:rRNA from 1 species
GACGGAGGAUGCAAGCGUUAUCCGGAAUUAUUGGGCGUAAAGCGUCCGCAGGUGGAUAUACAAGUCUGCUGUCAAAGUGCAGAGCUUAACUCUGUAAAGGCGGUGGAAACUGUAGGUCUUGAGUAUGGUAGGGGUAGAGGGAAUUCCCGGUGUAGCGGUGAAAUGCGUAGAUAUCGGGAAGAACACCAGUGGCGAAAGCGCUCUACUGGGCCGAUAACUGACACUGAGGGACGAAAGCUAGGGGAGCGAAAGGG